GCCUCCUGGUAGUGGGCAAAGAGACACCUUGUUGGUGGUGAUGCUUUCAUAUCAGUCAGGAACAGAGCAGAUGGCAGUCCUUUGUUCAUCCUAGCUUGAUGCCUGGCUUGGUGGCCAAAGCUCUUUUAUGCCUAGGACACAUAA